rnacentral:rRNA from 1 species
UACGUAGGGAGCAAGCGUUGUCCGGAAUCAUUGGGCGUAAAGCGCGUGUAGGCGGCCAGAUAGGUCCGUUGUGAAAACUCGAGGCUCAACCUCGAGACGCCGAUGGAAACCAUUUGGCUAGAGUCCGGAAGAGGAGAGUGGAAUUCCUGGUGUAGCGGUGAAAUGCGCAGAUAUCAGGAAGAACACCCGUGGCUAAGGCGGCUCUCUAGUACGGUACUGACGCUGAGACGCGAAAGCGUGGGGAGCGAACAGG